CCCCUACCUCCCCUUUCCCUUUCCUUCCCACACCAAACCCAAGCCGCGUCACUCAUGUCUCUCUCUCCUCAUCACCACCGAGUUUUUGGCAAAGUUUCAGAUGAGAAAAAGUCUUUGACAGGUCUGUAUGGCCAUUUGAAGCAAAGCAUUUAUGGUUUCCACUCCAUUUCACCAAACGCCACCCAAACGCGUUUGGUGAUUUUGAGAAGCGAAGGAUCUUCAAGGUUCAUUCUCGACUCAAGGCUGCACCACAAAGAGAUCCAAUUAUCUUAUUCGAUCAAGUCCGUGUGAGAAAAAUGGCAAGGGAAGCUAAUAUAUAUUGAAGGCCCAACCAUGGAUGAAAAUGAUGAAGGCCCAACUAUGGGUGAAAAUAGCAAAUUGGUGGGCUUAGGUAGGCCCACUAGCUUAAACUUCCUUGUUACAUUCAUUAUUUGUGUAAAAAUUAUAUUUUUAAAACGCUUGAUGAUUAUUGGAACCCAUUGUAUCUGUUAGAACUUAGGAAAACACUCAGUAAUUUAGGUAAGUCGUCAAAACAAAU